rnacentral:rRNA from 1 species
UACAGAGGUCUCAAGCGUUGUUCGGAUUCAUUGGGCGUAAAGGGUGUGUAGGUGGCGCCGUGAGUCGGGUGUGAAAUUUCGGAGCUUAACUCCGAAACUGCAUUCGAUACUGCGGUGCUUGAGGACUGGAGAGGAGACUGGAAUUUACGGUGUAGCAGUGAAAUGCGUAGAGAUCGUAAGGAAGACCAGUGGCGAAGGCGGGUCUCUGGACAGUUCCUGACACUGAGGCACGAAGGCCAGGGGAGCAAACGGG